rnacentral:tRNA from 1 species
GCAUUCGUAGCUCAGUUGGAUUAGAGCGCAUCCCUCCGAAGGAUGAGGUCGCAGGUUCAAUUCCUGUCGAGUGCGC